CGCGCCGGGAGGAGCGGGCUGGGCCUCAGGCUGAGGUGGGGUCCUCGCCCCAACGGCGCGAGCUCGGAGGCCUCAGGCCCCGCCGGGGAGGAGAAGGAAGGAAAGGGGAGGCGCAGCUCGCGUGCGGUUGACUGCUGGGGCGUGUGGGGGGUCGGUCUCCGGAGGGCCCGUGAGGGACGGUCGGCGUGGGCGCCUGUGGAGAGUCCAGUGUCGGUGCCGUGUGGCCUCCCUUGGGGCAGCACCGUUGAGGCGCCGGUUCGUUUGUGGGCUCCUCUUCCUCAGGGCCCUUUGUGGCUCCACGCGGUUUGAGGGUUGUCUCUGCGCCGUGUUUUCUGUGCAAAUGCCGUUGGGAGUUGGAUCAGCAUCGCCUUGAACCUGUAGAUCACUUUGGGGCGCGAAAGGCCAUCGUCACCGUGUUAAUUCUUCCAAUCCCACUAUUUGAGAGAGACAGUAGGAAGGAAAUAAUUGUUGGCAAAAACUCUUUUUAAAAUGACCUUCGUAUUCCAACUAUUUCUCUCUGUCCACAUUUGAAAAGAAAAAGAGGACUAAUUCACACUCCAUGAUGGCACACAGAGCUUCGAGUGGAGGAAACCGUUGGCUAAUCCUGAAACUAGCCCAGGAAGAUAAUCGCUCACCAGCCAUAGCCCAGUUACAUUCUGAGCUUACAUACUCAUGUCCGGGUGUGAUCAACGCCAGCCUCUCAACGGGAAGCAUUCAAGAAUACAGUACAUUGUUAAAGGACUGCACCAAAGUGAGAGAGCUGUGAUGAAGUACACGUAUCUUCAUGAGAUGCCCUGCAGUCCCCGCACUAUAUAUCAGAGGCUUGGCACUGGACUCCCUGGCUGAUCAAGAGUGGAGCCUUCAUUCCCAGCACAGCAGAGCAACGGAGCAACAAACAACAACAUGGUUCUGUUUGCUUGGGAAACCCAUUCGAUAAAAGGACACAAGUGAAUCUUCAAGGAGCCUGUGAGCCUAAGGAAGCCUGACUUUGCUCUCAAAGCUUUGGGAUUGCUACUUCUCCGCAGAUCCUCUGACCCAAGCAAAUCUCAAGGCAAGUCUCCAACUCCUCUCUGGUCUGGUUUUUCAUCAGCAAAAUGAGGGGGCUGGACCAAAUGAUCUCUUAGGCCUCAUCCUACUCUAAAAUUUGGCGAUUCUGACCCUGUGACAGUCUUGUAGCCCCCAAGGGACUAACUUUAUUCCUUGCAUUGGUCACAUAUUUUCCAGCAGCCUAAUUUAGACUCUUACAGCCGAAUUGGACCAUAGAUGAUUCCAGUAAAUAAUAAUACUUACACAGUUUGUUAGAAACUGUGAAAUGAUUUUACAUAUAGUAUUUCAUUGGAUCCUUAAAAAAAACAUUAAGGAAGGAAAAGGUAUUAUUCUCCUCAUUUUAUAGCUAUGCUAAGAGAGGUUAAGUCAUAACCGCUAGGGUGACUAGGGCCAGAUCUGAAAAGAAAAAAUUCCAUAUGUGAGUUUCUUAGGCUGCAUGAGGCACAACAUUCAGUAAAGAGAUGUGAGUAUCAUAGAUGGGAAUAGUGAGCAUUCUGGAACCUGCCUCCAAAUUCAAGCAUAUUACAGUCACCUAUGUAAACUCUGAGUGGAGAGACAGACACUCCACAAAGAGAGAGCAUAGAGCUAGAAGUGAUUUUUACUUCUAGGACAAUGACUCUUAGACAAGGGCGGGGGAUGUUCUUCAACUCCUCAGGCAGUGCUCUAAAAGGAGAGAAUGGAAGGUGGAGUGGAUUCACCUUGGGUAGCUAGUGGAAGGUCACUAGUUCAAGCCAGGGACACUGGUGGAAGGCUGGUAGGAAGUAGAGAUUUGGGAUAUUACAGUCUGGGUACUGAGUACUGACUAUACGCCAAGCCCUUGAUAGAGCUCAUGACUGCUGCUUACAACUUAUAUUAUCUUUUGUCCCAGCCUUGAAGAAAUCCUGUGGAGAGUUAGAGAGCCUAUAAAAACCUAAAGAUAGGGUGAGAGAAAUAGGAUCUGCAGCACGGGGGUAUUUACACACACACACACACACACACACACACACACACACAGAAGGUAAGCCUUCCUCUCUGGUGUAUAAUUAAAGAAUUACAAUGCUUAGAGGCAGAGGGCUUCCCCAUCUGAGUGCAGGGCCUGUGGGAGCACAGGAAGUACUAAGAUGACUGGAAGCAAAAUGAAUGACAACAAAAUCAGCAACAGUGUGGGAGUGAGCCAUGGGCAGAGGAGUGGCAAACCCCAAAGAUAUCCCAGUCAGCCCCUGCACCAGGGAUGACAAGAGGGCGGUGGCAACAAUAGCAGAGGUUAAGGGGCAGUAGAGUGUGGGGCCAUAUCAGCUGCUUCAACAGAACAAUCAAGGUUUCUAAGCUCCUCUAGGCUUAGGAAAAGAACAAGACAAGAAAGAUAAAAGAUAAAGGUGUAGAGGGGAUGCGAUUAGAGGCAAACCUCAAGGAAAUCAAAUUUGUAGAUGACACAAAACUAAGAGCAUGGUUAAUAUCAUUUUGAGUCUUAGAUUGGUUGACUUUCAUCACAGACCAACUCUGGGACUGCAAACCCAAGAAGUUGAAAUUUAACAGGAAUAUAUAUAAAUUCCUGGAGAUCCCUGGGUGGCUCAGCGGUUUAGCGCCUGCCUUUGGCCCAAGGCAUGAUCCUGGAGUCCCGGGAUC